UUCCUUCUCGGAGCUUUUGCUAUAAUACGCAAGUGCCUGGUUUCUUUCAUCUUUGGCCAUCAGUUGCCUGCUACUUCUCCUGGUUAGCUCAGUUGCUGCUCCAUGAAGUUUGUGUGAUCGCUCAUCUCAAGAGCUCUGUAGUGUAGGUUUCCUAAUCUCCUUUUGUGCCAAAAUAGAAGCUAGAGAAGCGGAGAAGAGAGCUUAAAGGUACAGCAUUUGCAGCUUAAAGGGUUUUAUUUUGUUCAAACUAUGGAUCCAAAUUCGAAGAGGAAGAGGGAGUCGCACGAAUCGCUAUCCGAGUCAACUCGUUCAUCUCCAUUUCCUGAUGAGGUACUGGAGCGGGUUCUGGGUCUUUUGAAAUCUAACAAGGACCGGAGUUCAGUUUCUCUUGUAUGCAAGGAUUGGUACAACGCGGAGAGCUGGUCGCGCACUCAUGUUUUUAUCGGAAACUGUUAUUCCGUUUCUCCUGAGAUCGUUGCCCGUCGGUUCCCCAAAAUCCGGAGCGUUACUCUCAAAGGGAAGCCCAGAUUCUCGGAUUUCAAUUUGGUCCCUAGGAAUUGGGGUGCUGAUAUCCAGUCUUGGCUUGUCGUUUUUGCCUCCAAAUACCCAUUUCUAGAGGAGCUUAGGCUUAAAAGAAUGUCUGUCACUGACGAGAGUUUGGAGUUUUUGGCUCUCAACUUCCCCAACUUUAAAGCUCUAUCGCUUCUGAGCUGUGAUGGAUUCAGUACCGAUGGCAUAGCAGCCAUUGCUACUCAUUGCAAGAAUUUGACUGAGCUUGACAUACAGGAGAAUGACAUUGAUGAUAAGAAUGGGAAUUGGUUGAGCUGCUUUCCUGAAAACUUUUCAUCAUUGGAAGUACUUAGUUUUGCCAACCUGAAUAGUGAAGUCAAUUUUGAUGCACUUGAGAGACUAGUAAGUAGGUGCAAAUCAUUAAGGGUUCUGAAGGUCAACAAAACUGUUUCCUUGGAACAGCUGCAAAGGCUUCUUGUUUGCACCCCACAAUUAACAGAGCUCGGUACUGGCUCUUUUUCCCAAGAGCUCACUGCCCGCCACUACACUGAGCUUGAAAAUACAUUCAACCAUUGCAAGAAACUUGAUACCCUUUCUGGUUUAUGGGAAGCAAUGGCACCAUAUUUACCAACUCUCUACCCUGCUUGUACCAGCUUGACUUUCUUAAAUUUGAGUUAUGCUAUUUUGCAAAGUCUUGAACUUGCUAAUCUUCUUCAUCACUGCCCACAGCUUCGUCGCCUCUGGGUCCUGGACACUGUAGAGGACAAAGGUCUGGAGGCUGUUGGAUCAAACUGUCCUUUGCUGGAGGAACUCCGAGUCUUCCCUGCUGAUCCCUUUGAUGAAGAUAUUAUCCAUGGGGUGACUGAAGCAGGGUUUGUUGCUGUGUCUUAUGGUUGUCGGAGACUUCAUUAUGUUCUCUAUUUUUGCCGGCAGAUGACUAAUGCUGCAGUAGCAACAAUUGUGCAAAACUGCCCAAAUUUCACCCACUUCCGUCUCUGCAUCAUGAAUCCAGGUCAACCAGAUUACAUUACAAAUGAACCCAUGGAUGAGGCUUUCGGUGCAGUUGUGAAGACUUGCUCUAAACUUCAGAGACUUUCAGUCUCAGGUCUCUUGACUGACCUGACAUUUGCGUAUAUUGGGAGGUAUGCCAAAAAUUUGGAAACUCUCUCAGUAGCUUUUGCAGGCAGCAGUGACUGGGGGAUGCAAUGUGUGCUGGGAGGUUGUCCAAAAUUGAGGAAACUUGAGAUAAGGGAUUGUCCAUUUGGAAAUGCAGCACUUCUAUCAGGUUUGGAAAAAUAUGAAUCUAUGAGGUCACUUUGGAUGUCAUCCUGCAAUGUGACGAUGAAUGGCUGUCGGCUAUUGGCAAGGGAGAUGCCGAGAUUGAAUGUGGAGGUGAUGAAAGAGGAGGGGAGUGAUGACAGUCAGGCUGAUAAAGUUUAUGUUUACCGUUCUGUUGCAGGGCCAAGAAGGGAUGCCCCUCCUUCUGUCCUCACUCUUUGAGAUCUAUCAUUUAGGUUCCAUAAAAGCCAUGAUGCAAUCCAUAUUUGUGAUGUGGAUGGUGAGAAAGAAGAUGAGAAGCGUCAAUGAAACUUUGCAUUCAUUCUUGUACUGUUGCUUGCUCUCUCACACAGAGAAUUGUGGUAUGUGCCAGUGACAAAGAUACAAUGAAGAUAGACUCUCAUUCAUCAACAAUGUCCAGUGGAGCAAACAAGUAUGGUUCAUCUACUUGAUUUACAAUGCCCCUGGAUAGCAGAAGCAAGACUGCCAAUGUAGAAGUAGAUAAAGCAGCCAUGGUAAUGGGCCACAAAGGAACCAAAAUCUGUCCCAAUUAUACAUUGCCAUCCAGGUCUCUGCAUCCUGUCAAAAUCCUGCAGUACACUACAAAAAAAGGGGUAUCUGUGAUGGAAUUUGCAAUGGACAUGACAUCCAUCGCAAAGGAAAUGAAUUAGCGAUGGAGUUAGAGAUGGAUCAGGAACAGAUAUCCUUUGAAGAAAUUUCCAAUGGAGUUAUGAUGGAUUAGCAACAGAUAUUGGAACUGAUUAGCAACAUAUUUUUCCCAUUGCAAGUCUGUCAGAAAAGCCUAAUAAAUUCUGAAUCCCUAAAUCAUUUCUUUCCAAAAAACAUUUUGGAAUUAUUUCUUCAAUCUGCUGCUUCUCUCCCUUAUUGAGUUGACUAAGCUGAGAACUCCCACCUUGAGGUGCCACAUGCUUGUUGUUGACUGGUAGCUGUGUUCUUCGCUGGAAAUCAUGCGUUACAAUGGUCUAUCACAAUCCAACGUAUCAGCUCCAUUCCUCCUGCAUUUCCUUUCCCGAAUUGCUGACAGUAAUGGGAUUGCCAACCUCCGGAACACUGGGAAAAGUGGGUUUCUCAGAGCUAACGACUUCCAAGGAAACAACAAUCCAAUUUGAGCAAGUUCAACAACUGAUAGAAGAAAAUUCUUCUAUCAGAUCAAAAUGAGAGCAGAGAUACUAGAGGCGAAGCAGAAGAAGAUUAUAUCCACAAUGGGAGUCAAAAAGCAACAUCUCCACAGCUAACUCAGUUCAGACUCCAUUUGUCCACUAUAUGUUUUUUUAGUUAUGAAUUGUCUUAAUAAAUUUACAGGGAAUAUUAAAAUAAACAAUAAAAUGAAAUUGAUAAAUAAUGUCAUUUUGGGACAGAUGUGCAA